AGUGAACGCUGGCGGUAGGCCUAACACAUGCAAGUCGAACGGCAGCACAGUAAGAGCUUGCUCUUACGGGUGGCGAGUGGCGGACGGGUGAGGAAUACAUCGGAAUCUACUUUUUCGUGGGGGAUAACGUAGGGAAACUUACGCUAAUACCGCAUACGACCUACGGGUGAAAGCAGGGGAUCUUCGGACCUUGCGCGAUUGAAUGAGCCGAUGUCGGAUUAGCUAGUUGGCGGGGUAAAGGCCCACCAAGGCGACGAUCCGUAGCUGGUCUGAGAGGAUGAUCAGCCACACUGGAACUGAGACACGGUCCAGACUCCUACGGGAGGCAGCAGUGGGGAAUAUUGGACAAUGGGGGAAAGCCUGAUCCAGCCAUACCGCGUGAGUGAAGAAGGACUUCGGGUUGUAAAGCCCUUUUGUUGGGAAAGAAAAGCAGCAGGUUAAUACCCCGCUGUUCUGACGGUACCCAAAGAAUAAGCACCGGCUAACUUCGUG
rnacentral:rRNA from 1 species